rnacentral:ribozyme from 12 species
GAAAAAAAAAAUUGAAAAAAAAAAAUGAAAAUUUCACAAAAACCGAAAUUUUGGCAAAAAUUUGAAAUUUUUUGAAAUUUUUUGAAAACUAUUUUAACCCCUAUAAUACUGACACUCGCGAUUUGGCCAUUUUUCACCAAACGGCGAGCAUUGGGAGAUCUAUAAGGUGUGACAUUUUUAAAAAACAAA